UCCUACAAUGUAUAACACUCUACACCAUGUGGCAUUCCGAGAUGCACCUGCGGUUAUAUCGGUGAAGGUAUUCUCCAGAGACUGAAUUGAAGACCCACCCUGAAUGCUGGCAGUACCAUGCCAUGGACUUGGGUCCUAGACCGAAUAUAAAGGAUAAAGGACCAAGGAAGCUGAGCACCCACACUGAUCUGAGUCAAUGUUGAUCUGCUGACUCAGCAUGUCCCAGUGGGCAAGAAUGAGCACUGUGAGCAUCUGGAACCGGCCUGUGUAGCCUGGAAUGGUGGUCAGGGAAUUCAGUGUGACAAGAGGAUUCCACACCCUCAAACUGAUUACCCGCUUUGCAUCAGGACUCUCAGAACAAAAUUCUGCCCAAAGAAACAAUUUGAGAUCUAUGCUGCGAUGACUGUUCUUGGUUAUCAUUGACUACAUCUGCAAUGAACUAAAACCCAUGUGGCUGGGCACACCUGUGAGGGAUUGUUUUCUUAAUACAAUCAUUUGAAGUAGGAAGACCCAUUUCAGUUUGGAUCUUCUGAGGCUGGAGGAUACACUUGUAAUCCAGAACUUUUAAGGUCCGGGAGAAUCUCCUUUAUUGAAACACACUUUCUGGGGAUAGCCUUUAUAAAGGAUAUGGAAGGAGGAAGCUUGCUCUUGCUCUCUUUGGCAAGUCUAUUCUUUCACUGGCUUUAGAGCCUACUUUUUCAGGAUUGCAGCAUAUACUGAAUACCAUCCGAGACUCCUGCCUUAUGAACUGAGCAAGUACUGGAUUCUAGGACCUUCCAUUCAUAGGCAGUCAUGUUGGAAUAGCUGGACCACAGCCUAUAAGCCAAUCUAAUAA